rnacentral:rRNA from 1 species
UGGGGAAUCUUGCGCAAUGGGCGAAAGCCUGACGCAGCCAUGCCGCGUGAAUGAUGAAGGUCUUAGGAUUGUAAAAUUCUUUCACCGGGGACGAUAAUGACGGUACCCGGAGAAGAAGCCCCGGCUAACUUCGUGCCAGCAGCCGCGGUAAUACGAAGGGGGCUAGCGUUGCUCGGAAUUACUGGGCGUAAAGGGCGCGUAGGCGGACAUUUAAGUCAGGGGUGAAAUCCCGGAGCUCAACUUCGGAACUGCCUUUGAUACUGGAUGUCUUGAGUAUGAGAGAGGUAUGUGGAACUCCGAGUGUAGAGGUGAAAUUCGUAGAUAUUCGGAAGAACACCAGUGGCGAAGGCGACAUACUGGCUCAUUACUGACGCUGAGGCGCGAAAGCGCGGGGAGCAAACAGGAUUAGAUACCCUGGUAGUCCACGCCGUAAACGAUGAUUGCUAGUUGUCGGGAUGCAUGCAUCUCGGUGACGCAGCUAACGCAUUAAGCAAUCCGCCUGGGGAGUACGGUCGCAAGAUUAAAACUCAAAUGAAUUGACGGGGGUCAUAGCUGUUUCCUG